rnacentral:snoRNA from 1 species
AGUACAUUUUCAUUUUUACUUUUUGCAAAGAAAUUCUACUCUAUACAUACAGGUGCUAAAAAUAAAGCCUCUUUUGCAACGCAGAACUCAUUGCUCAGUAUGAGUUUUGAUACAUAUAAGAAGGAACAUG